rnacentral:rRNA from 1 species
AGUGAACGCUGGCGGUAGGCCUAACACAUGCAAGUCGAACGGCAGCACAGUAAGAGCUUGCUCUUACGGGUGGCGAGUGGAGGACGGGUGAGGAAUACAUCGGACUCUACUUUUUCGUGGGGGAUAACGUAGGGAAACUUACGCUAAUACCGCAUACGACCUACGGGUGAACGCAGGGGAUCUUCGGACCUUGAGCGAUUGAAUGAGCCGAUGUCGGAUUAGCUAGUUGGCGGGGUAAAGGCCCACCAAGGCGACGAUCCAUAGCCAGUCUGAGAGCAGGAUCAACGACACGAGAAAUGAGACACGGACCAGACGCCUGCGUGAGGAGCCAGUGGGGAAUAUUGAACAAGAGGCGCAAGCCUGAUCCAGCGAUACCGCGUGCGUGAAGAAGGCCUUCGGGUAUUAAAGCCCUUUUGUUGGGAGAGAAAAGCAGCAGGUGAAUACCCCGCGGUUCUGACGGUACCCGAAGAAUAAGCACCGGCUAACUUCGUG